UACAGAGGUCCCGAGCGUUGUCCGGAUUUACUGGGCGUAAAGGGCGCGUAGGUGGUGAGGUAAGUCGGAUGUGAAAUCCCCGGGCUUAACCUGGGAAUGGCAUUCGGGACUGCAAGGCUGGAGUGCGGCAGAGGAGACUGGAAUUCCUGGUGUAGCAGUGAAAUGCGUAGAUAUCUGGAGGAACACCGGUGGCGAAGGCGGCAUCCUGGACCGGCAUUGACGCUGAGGCGCGAAAGCCAGGGGAGCAAACGGG
rnacentral:rRNA from 1 species